rfam:Stegodyphus mimosarum contig18059, whole genome shotgun sequence.
GCCUUCGUGGUCUAGUGGACAGCACGCUGGGCGCAUAUUUCAGAGGUCCGUGGUUCGAGUCCCGGCGAAGGCA